GAUGAACGCUGGCGGCGUGCCUAAUACAUGCAAGUCGAGCGAACAGACGAUGAGCUUGCUCCUCUGACGUUAGCGGCGGACGGGUGAGUAACACGUGUAUAACCUACCUAUAAUACUGGUAUAACUUCGGGAAACCGGAGCUAAUACCGUAUAAUAUAUUGAACCGCAUGGUUCGAUAGUGAAAGACGGUGUUGGUGUCACGUAUAGAUGGAUCCGCGCCGCAUUAGAUAGUUGUUAAGGUAACGGCUUACGAAGGCAACGAUGCGUAGCCGACGGGUGAGGCUGAUAGGCCACACUGGAAGUGAGACACGGACCAGAGUACUGAGGGAGGCAGCAGUAGCGAACCUUCCGCAAUGGGGGAAAGCAUGGCGGAGCAAGGCGGAGCGAGUGAUGACGGUGCUCGGAUCGUAAAACUGUGUUAUUAGGGAAGAACAAAUGUGUAAGUAAAUAUGCACGUAUUGACGGUAACUAAUCAGAAAGCCACGGCUAACUACGUG
rnacentral:rRNA from 1 species